UACGUAGGGUGCAAGCGUUAUCCGGAAUUAUUGGGCGUAAAGGGCUCGUAGGCGGUUUGUCGCGUCAGGAGUGAAAACUCGGGGCUUAACCCCGAGCCUGCUUCUGAUACGGGCAGACUAGAGGUAUGCAGGGGAGAACGGAAUUCCUGGUGUAGCGGUGAAAUGCGCAGAUAUCAGGAGGAACACCGGUGGCGAAGGCGGUUCUCUGGGCAUUACCUGACGCUGAGGAGCGAAAGUGUGGGGAGCGAACAGG
rnacentral:rRNA from 1 species